GAUGAACGCUGGCGGCGUGCCUAAUACAUGCAAGUCGAGCGAACGGACGAGAAGCUUGCUUCUCUGAUGUUAGCGGCGGACGGGUGAGUAACACGUGGAUAACCUACCUAUAAGACUGGGAUAACUUCGGGAAACCGGAGCUAAUACCGGAUAAUAUUUUGAACCGCAUGGUUCAAAAGUGAAAGACGGUCUUGCUGUCACUUAUAGAUGGAUCCGCGCUGCAUUAGCUAGUUGGUAAGGUAACGGCUUACCAAGGCAACGAUGCAUAGCCGACCUGAGAGGGGGAGCGCGGACACAGGGAAACGGACACGGUCCAGACUCCUACGGGAGGCAGCAGUAGGGAAUCUUCCGCAAUGGGCGAAAGCCUGACGGAGCAACGCCGCGUGAGUGAUGAAGGUCUUCGGAUCGUAAAACUCUGUUAUUAGGGAAGAACAUAUGUGUAAGUAACUGUGCACAUCUUGACGGUACCUAAUCAGAAAGCCACGGCUAACUACGUG
rnacentral:rRNA from 1 species